CCAGGUCCUGCCAGGUUUUAGGAGGUUUGGGAUGCUCCAGGGAGAGGAUUUUCCUUGCACUGCUCAGCUCAGCCCAUCAUUCUCUCAGGGCUCCCGGAAUCAAAUAUUGUGGUCAAACUCACCAAAAACUUCUUCCAGUGAUGCCCAACACCUUUCCUCUGGAACCCUAAGCAUUUUAUAAAUCUGAUUUGAUUUUUGACAACUGGGGUCAUCUCAAGGAUUAUUUCAAUAAUGCCAGCUCUGGAGUGAGGAUGGAAACCAGACUUUGGAGCAGCAGAUAUCCUCCCCUGGAUCUCUGGAAACCUUUGGUGUUUCUCUGUGCCUCACUCAGGGUAUAAAGCUGAGGGUGCCUUCAGCAUCCAGCACCAAUGUGUGCCCAUUCGCAGCCCUGGAAUUUGCCACCCAGAGCCUUGGCUUUCCCUGGGUGACCUGACCUGCCGUGGUUGCCUUGAGCUCUCAGCCCUUCAGCCAAGGAGCUGGAUGGAUGUCUUGCCUCACCCAGGCAACGGGAGAUGUCAAAAGUUCAUUGGAUUUACGGAUUACAAAUCACCAGUUGUCUCUCAAGCAUUGUGCAAAUGAUCCGACGCUGUUUUAUGGCACCCAGGGAGCUGCCUGGGCAGGGAUUCAGGCGUGUGCUGAAGCACCUUGUUGACUUCAGCAUCUAAAUAUCUAAAAUGAGCAUUUUCAAUGAGAGCAAGAGACACGUUCUCCUCCUUCCCUGGACCAAAGUGUGGCUUAGUCCCCAGUCUCGUCCAAGAGGUAUUAAAGUCGU